UACGUAGGGUCCGAGCGUUGUCCGGAAUUACUGGGCGUAAAGAGCUCGUAGGUGGUUUGUCGCGUUGUUCGUGAAAACUCACAGCUUAACUGUGGGCGUGCGGGCGAUACGGGCAGACUUGAGUACUGCAGGGGAGACUGGAAUUCCUGGUGUAGCGGUGGAAUGCGCAGAUAUCAGGAGGAACACCGGUGGCGAAGGCGGGUCUCUGGGCAAUUCCUGACGCU
rnacentral:rRNA from 1 species